rnacentral:rRNA from 1 species
UACGAAGGGGGCUAGCGUUGCUCGGAAUCACUGGGCGUAAAGGGUGCGUAGGCGGGUCUUUAAGUCAGGGGUGAAAUCCUGGAGCUCAACUCCAGAACUGCCUUUGAUACUGGAAGAUCUUGAGUUCGGGAGAGGUGAGUGGAACUGCGAGUGUAGAGGUGAAAUUCGUAGAUAUUCGCAAGAACACCAGUGGCGAAGGCGGCUCACUGGCCCGGUACUGACGCUGAGGUGCGAAAGCGGUGGGGAGCAAACAGG